AGGUGGGAGGCUGCAGUUCACCAAAUACAUAGCAAAACACCAGGUGCUUGACUUCUGCUUAUCUGAUGGUUUAACAAAUGAACAUCCUUCCUCUGCUCAUCCCGUUCUCUCUCCAGAUGGACUGUAGUUUUUUUCACAGAUUUGAAAAGCUGCAGAGAGAGUUAAAUCACAGCAGCAAGAAAGCACGUCCAUUCUGUCCCCACCUUUGUACCCCAUCUCCCCAUGUUUUCAGUUGAACCACAAAAUUACAGGAGUUGGUGGAGGGUUUCAUUAGAUUUUCUGCUGCAAGUUCAGAAUCUUACUGCAAGAGUUCCCUCUGCUGGUCAGUGAUGGGGAAAUGCAUAACAUUUCCCUGCUGUAAGAAGCUCCUUUUGCUACAUUUAUGUUGAAAUAAUUUCUUAUUCAAUUACUCUCUGUCCUUCAUUAUUUUUAACAGCCUUUCCUUACUUGGGGCUUCUCCAGAUAAUAACCUUUUCCAGAUUCCUUUUUCUUCCCAUAAUUAACACUUAUAUUCCACUCCAUUUACACACCCUUCAGUAGUUUACUACCAUUGACCCAUCCCUUUUGCACAGAGGCUACAAUAAAGGUGGAGCCCUUCUGCACAAACGUGCAUUUCUACAUGGGCCUUUUCACAAGCAGAGGAUUGCAGCCUGAGCUGAGAGGCCAGACAGAUCUGGGCCCCAGACUCGCAAGAGUAAAAGUAGAUCAGUUUGUAAUUCUGAAAAAUUCAUGGUUAAUAACAAGAUUCUGAAAGAAGCUGUAAAAUAUCAAGAGAAUAUUCCAUUCACCUCCCUGGCAGUAAAAGCCCCAGGCCUGGUUUUCCUCUCCUGAUCUGAUUGUUCCUACCAGUCAGCCUAGAGAUUAUUUUUUCCUAAGGAGCAAUAAAACUUUGGCAACUGAUCUAAAGCCACCAUUUA